GGUAAUAUAUAAAAAAUAUUUGUACAAAGAGAUAGAAAAUCAGAAACUUAGAAAAUAUAUAAAAUAUUAUUUCUUUGAAUUUGAAUGUCGUGGCGAUUUCGCAUUCGAGUAGUCAUUUAUAUAAAGUAACGGUUAAAAAAAGUUUCUAAAAUACUUUUUAUUUAAUGUUAUAAUAUUUUUAUAUGCGAUGUAGUGAAAAAGAAUUAUCUAUAAAAAGGCAUAUGGUGUCAUUGACCGCGAUGCAAUAGAAGCAGUCAGUUUAGUAACUGACUGUACUAGUGCAACUGAAAGUCAAAAACUGUGUCGAGGAAAGAAAUAGAACCCGCGCAAUCGAGAUCACACUAACUGUAUGACUUACAUCUUUGUUUUCUUGUGCCUCGACAGAUUUAAACGUUUUAUUAAUCCAAUCUUUCACAUCGAAAGUAUCUUCGGAAAAUGCAGAUACAUCCUGAAAUCGGUUUAAGACGAAUACUAUAAAGGAAAGACCAUUUUGGAAGGUGCUGUUUCACCCCUUUGCGACAAUCAGCUCGGUUUCCUUGUGACACAGUUCACUUCUCUGGAUUCCGAUAAACUGCCUAGCAGAAGGUUGUAAAUCGAAGAGGAAAAGGGAGAGAAGAUGGAAAACAGCAUCAUAUCGGCCGUUUCCGGGCCCUUUGUUGAUCGCCACGCCUCCGAAACUGCGUUUGCGCGUGACGAUUUGCGCAACAGUUGGAAGUUGGAAUUUUGCCUCGAAAUAGCCUUAAUCUCGACGAAAAUAAGGAGAGCAGGCUGAGCAGAACUGCAGCGACAAUACUUUGCCCUUUUCUUUGCGAACAUUGAGCGCAUCAUCUGGUCGAGAAAAGGCCUAUCUUUCUCAGGUUGUGCUGCAUACGCAUGUGCUUCGUUUUUCCAUGUUACACGAAUUUACAUACGUUAUUGAUCAUUACGUUAUUACCUUAUUUAUAUUCAUUUUAUGACUAUAAGUUCUUUAAUCUUUUUUGUUAUCGAAUAUUUGAAACGAGAUCUUGGAGUUUCGAGUUCACAUGCGUAACAAGGGAAUUAUUCUUUCGCAUAAAGUUGAACUUUAUUACGGACGGCAAUCAGACCCAAUCAGUACAGCAUAUUAGAAGCGUAUGCAUUUAAUGUCGCGUAUAAAGUGCGUCGAUCAGAAGUCCAAUUUUGUAAUCUUGCUGUGCAUAUGAAUGCGUGCCGCUGAUAAAUUGUCCUUCAAUUGGACCAGGCUGAGACUUUUCAAAAAAGUACUAUUUUAUUUAUUCAUUAUAAACAAAUGGAAAGAAAUAUCAAUUAUUACAUUUUA